GGGGAGGAACAGGAAGAGGAGUGGGCAACAACCUCCCUUCUCUUCAAGUACCCUAAUUUAACACGCUGCUAUAAAACUGCUACAGGGGACUCAAGAGUUUGCAAAAGCAGGAAACCACCAUUUACCAAGCCUUUAUUUAAAGAGCCUUUUCAAAUUCCUAUUUCCCAUCAUAUAGUUGACUUGUAUAUGACUGAAAUUUGACACCACCUUUACCAUCCCAUCCAGGGCUCCAUAACGGCCCCCCUCCACUUCCUUCUUCAGACCCAAAGAUGGGAAAAUCCACUCCUGUCAUCGGCCCCAGGAGUACUGUACCAAUCCACAUUCUAUUCUCUACACCCAUCUACACCCUUGAAUAUAGUCCUUUUACUAAACUCUCCUCAAUUAUCUAGCUCAGGAAUGCUGUUUCUGGCUGACAAAGAAGAUAUUAAAAAUAUUUAAAAAUAUCACAUGUAACACAACAAUUAUUUGCAGACUAUCCCUGUAUGGCAGGUGAAUUGAGGUAACAUGAAAAUAUAAAAAGCAAAAGCUGUCUCUUUAUAAAUUAAAGUUGAAAUUCGAAAAAUUCAGGUCCUUAACUCAUGGCUUUCUCUACGUGGCCCCAAAUAAUAACUUCCAUUUUUUUGUCCCUGUACUUCACUGAUAUGAUUUGAUUUUUUUACUGAGUUGGGCAAAGAACUAAGUAUGGUUAUAUGAACAUAGCCAAAAUUCUCAAUAACAGCAAAUGGAAACACUAAAGGGUGGUAGAAGUUGAAACCACUACUGUCACCACUAUACAUUUAUAAAAUCAGCCAACAUUUCUAAAGGACUUUCUCUUCCCAGUAUCCAAUUCCACAAUGGACUCAGUGUAAACAAAGAUCAAGGCACAGAUAAUCACACUCCAAAAUUUCAAUUCAAUUGUAUGAAAUCGUCUAACAUAAAUUUUAGUCUUUUUUCUCAGCUGUCUUUCCUGGAUACUUUCCAGUGUGUUAUGAAGACAAAUUGAAGAAUCCAAUUGAGAAGUGCUUCAUGAAUUUGUAGAAUUUUUCAUUAGGAAGCAAAUAGAGGUGAUUUGGUUAAGGAGUAGAGAAUAAUUUUUUUAAGUGUGAUGAAAAAAACCUUGAUUAAUAGAAGAGGAAAUUAUGCAUUAUAUGGAAAUACAUAUUACCUGCCUUUAAGAACUAUUCAAGUGUUCUUUUCCAAAAAUAUGGAGAAAAUACUUCACUGAUAUUGAAAUAGACUGUGAGUUCAAUUUAUGCCAGAUUGACUUGACUUUUAUCCAGUUAGCUAAACUAAAUUUAUUUCUAUUGAUACCAUUUCUCGUUUCUAGUUCCACAUAUUCC